rnacentral:rRNA from 1 species
UGGGGAAUUUUGGACAAUGGGCGCAAGCCUGAUCCAGCCAUGCCGCGUGCGGGAAGAAGGCCUUCGGGUUGUAAACCGCUUUUGUCAGGGAAGAAAUCUUCUGAGUUAAUACCUCGGGAGGAUGACGGUACCUGAAGAAUAAGCACCGGCUAACUACGUGCCAGCAGCCGCGGUAAUACGUAGGGUGCAAGCGUUAAUCGGGAUUACUGGGCGUAAAGCGUGCGCAGGCGGUUUUGUAAGACAGAGGUGAAAUCCCCGGGCUCAACCUGGGAACUGCCUUUGCGACUGCAAGGCUUGAGUGCGGCAGAGGGGGGAUGGAAUUCCGCGUGUAGCAGUGAAAUGCGUAGAUAUGCGGAGGAACACCGAUGGCGAAGGCAAUCCCCUGGGCCUGCACUGACGCUCAUGCACGAAAGCGUGGGGAGCAAACAGGAUUAGAUACCCUGGUAGUCCACGCCCUAAACGAUGUCAACUGGUUGUUGGGAAGGUUCCUUCUCAGUAACGUAGCUAACGCGUGAAGUUGACCGCCUGGGGAGUACGGCCGCAAGGUUG